ensembl:lncRNA
GUGCUUUGGACGCUUCAAACUGCAGGAUUACUCAGCGGAAUGGAGUCACACUCCUCCCAUCAUCAACAAACCCAGACACAGUCCGAUGUUGACCUUCCCCACUGUGGCUUCAGUCAGAUCCAAUAAAUCCAACUCCACUCAGAGCUCCUCAGCUUCCUCACACUGCAUUGAACACCACUUCAAUGUGAAGAGACCUGACCUGGAUGUGGUGUAUCAGCAGAGCUUCAUCCUGCCUCGAGCGCAACGAGUACACACUCCGCUCCCCCGAGGGUGCAGGGUACACCACACACUCCCUAAACUGGAUCUCUACAGAGGUUCCUGACAACCACGUUUACUUCAACUAACGCUCAUUUCCAGCUUCACGCUACUGUUCUGUUUGGCGAUUAAUGCAGGACCG